UGGCACUGCAUACUUAUGCAGAUGGCGCCGUUGAUGGCUGCCACGGUGCUUCGGUGCGCUUCGUUUUUUGUUGUUUCUGCUGCGAUUCCCAGAGCUCUUUCACCAGAGAUGAGCUCUUGAACAGGCGCUGUAGGCGAGGAAAACGGGCCGGCUCGCUGGUGAGACUCCGCAAGCGUGGUUCUCGCACUCCGCUGCCAGGCGUCUUUCUCUCCAACGUGCGCUCACUGUACAACAAACUGGACGAAAUUCAGCUGCUGGUGAGGAGAGAGAGUUUUCUACAUCCUCCGUUUUGUGCUUCACGGAGACGUGGCUCUGCGGAUCGAUACCGACUUGUGCGCUCCAGCUGGUGGGCUUCCAGCUGCUCCGAGCGGACCGUGAAACGGAGCUCUCCGGCAAGACAAAGGGUGGAGGAAUCUGCUUCUACUUCAACAACAGCUGGUGCAACAACGUAACGGUGAUCCUACAACACUGUUCUCCUGAUCUGGAAACCAUUGUAUUCCCCCCGUGAGUUCGCUUCAUUCAUCCUGGUCGGUGUUUACAUGCCGCCGCCGGGCAACGUGCACGAGGCACAGCGGACACUCGCCGACCAGAUACGGCGUGUGGAGCGGACCAACCCGGACUCUUUAGUUAUUGUCCUCGGGGACUUUAACAAAGGUAAUCUCACCCAUGAACUUCCUAAAUACAGACAGUUUAUUAAAUGCCCCACCAGAGAGGAGAACACGCUGGAUCACUGUUACACCACAGUAAGCAGGGGUUAUCACGCCGUCCCUCGUGCUGCACUGGGACACUCUGACCACGUCAUGGUCCAUCUGAUUCCUGCAUACAGGCAGAAACUAAAGCUCUGCAAACCUGUGGUGAGGGAAUUUAAGAAGUGGACCAGUGAGGCGCUGAAGGAUCUUCGGGCGUGCUUUGACUGCACAGACUGGGAUGUUUUCAGGACGGCUACUGACAGUCUGGAUGAGUUCACAGAGGCUGUAACUUCCUACAUCGGCUUCUGUGAGGACAGCUGUGUACCAUCAUGCACCAGGGUGAGUUACAACAACGACAAACCCUGGUUCACAGCGGAACUCAGAACACUAGGCGUGCAGAAGGAUCAGGCAUUUGGGAGUGGGGACAAAGACUUGUACACAGAGUCAAAAUACAAGUUUAGCAAGGCGGUGAGAGAUGCUAAACGACUGUACUCUGAGAAACUCCAACAACAGUUCUCAGCAAGUGACUCUGCUUCGGUUUGGAGAGGCCUCAAACACCUCACAAACUACAAGCCAAAAACCCCCCACUCCAUGAAUGACCUCCGCCUGGCAGACGAACUGAAUGAGUUCUACUGCAGAUUCGAAAGACAAUGUCCUGAUCCCAUCCUCCACAGCUCCACCAACCUGCUGCAGUCCCCCAACCCUCCCUCCCCCAGCCGAUCAGGUGCUCACGCCUCUUCAUCUAUCAGCAUGGUUACAUGGAUUCGAAUAACUGGCUUAGUCGGACUGAAAUUGAAUAAUCCAUUCAUGUAAACACCUUUGUCCGACUAUGUGCGAUCCGAUUAACACCCCUGGAUAACUCGAUCCGAUCCAGUUGAUAGUUCGACUAUCGCGGGAUGUAACGGUGAAUCGGAUAAGGAACUGGACUUUGCGUCUCCCAGAUCGUGACCCGGAAGUCGAAAGAGACUGCUGGGAGCCUGGCCGGCAGAAAACAAACAAACAACGCUAUGGACAACACAAGAGUCCCUAGUAGAGCACAACGGCGUAGAUUCGGGUGUUCGGUUGCCAACUACAAUGGGUAAGUUAAUUUCAGUUGCAUCACACUAAAACAAGUGCUAGAUACCAGAUGUUAGCUGAUGCUGUGAGAUGUCUUAGCAGUGCUAAUAUGUGUUGAAACAUGUGUACCUUCCCAUGACUUGCGAGGAAUUAAAUCGACGAUGAAAACAAUGUACAAUCAUAAAACGUAAGGCUAACCUGGGUCCCACUUGAUAACCGUAACUUUCGAAGCUAACAUGGGUGCCACUUGCUAGCUAGCCCUUAGUCUUUGAGAAACGUGUAGACCUUCCCACUAACUUGCAAGGAAUUCAAUUUAGAAUGAAAGCUAGUUACAAAUGUAAUAAAGUUUACAUUAACUGUACUUUCUAUAUUUGUUUUGGCACUAUAGUUGAGUUUUUAUGUUUCUUUGUCUAUUUUUAUGUGAAUGUAAUUUCUUCGUGCACGUUAUUACGCACGUAUUUGCUGUAAAGCACUUUGAGCUGCAUUCUUUUGCAUGAAAGGUGCUAUAUAAAUAACGUUUUAUUAUUAUUUGUGCUGUACCAUCUUAUAGAUACUACAAUGGACCCGGAAGAGACGCUGCUCGGAGGCUCAUCUGGAACCUCCUCACCUAGGUCAACUCCACCACCUUCUACUCCACUGCGUGCUACAAUUACCGAUGAUCUACCUGGAACAAGGACCCAGCAAACAAGGCGAAUGAGAGACGUCGAUGUGCUGGUGAACCAGAUGCAAGUCAUGACUCAUCAAUGGACGGAGGACAUGGCAAGAAGUGAGGCCCGGGAGGAACGGUUGAUCGCCAGCAUCCUCCGCACUGACAGUAUGGUUGAGAAGCUGAUGCAGAGAAUGGAUAACAUUCAACCUCAACCAAACACAUUCUCACCACCACCACAACAUCAACCACCGCAAGAUGCGUAUUAUGGUUAUGGAUGCCUUACUUAUUUGCACUACCGCCUGAAAAGCAUCGUACCGUUCAUACAGCACAAUUUCUACACUCUACCUCAGUGUGUGUGUGUGUGUGUGUGUGU
ensembl:lncRNA